AACUAGGCCAAAAAGAAGCAGAUCGCAUUACGUAAAAGAUGAAGUUCGCCUUUGUUUUGCUAGGAUUUUUGAGUUACCAAAUUCUCUCGCUAUCGGCACGAGCACCUUGGGCCUCAGUGUCAGAAAGAUGCAAUGUAGGAUUUCCUAUUUGUAUUCCAUUUGGCCCUUCCCCGGUUCAAUUCUGUUUAUACGUUGAAAAUAAAUCGUCCUGGGCUAAUAAAAUGGUCGGAUUCUGUGUAUAUUUCGCCUUCAACAGUUUCAUCUUUAGCGACUACGUUAAACUGGGCUGCAUUGAAAUAGGGACGGAUAUUGGGAUUAAUUUAACAUUUGACUUCGAGAGAACAUUUAACUUGAUUGGAUUUAAAUAGAAGAUUUGUUCAAGGUUUGCGCAUUUCUAGUUAGAAAUGUUUUUCACAUUGGUUUAAAUCGGUUUAUUAUAUGUGUUAGUAGAAUA